rnacentral:tRNA from 1 species
GCCUGGGUGGCUCAGUCGGUUAAGUGUCUGACUUCGGCUCAGGUCAUGAUCUCACAGUUUGUGGGUUCGAGCCCCGCGUCGGGCU